rnacentral:rRNA from 1 species
UACGUAGGGUCCGAGCGUUGUCCGGAAUUAUUGGGCGUAAAGGGCUCGUAGGCGGUUUGUCGGGUCGGGAGUGAAAACACGGGGCUUAACCCCGUGCCUGCUUCCGAUACGGGCAGACUAGAGGUAUGCAGGGGAGAACGGAAUUCCUGGUGUAGCGGUGAAAUGCGCAGAUAUCAGGAGGAACACCGGUGGCGAAGGCGGUUCUCUGGGCAUUACCUGACGCUGAGGAGCGAAAGUGUGGGGAGCGAACAGG